rnacentral:misc_RNA from 1 species
GAUGAAGAACGUAGCGAAAUGCGAUAAGUAAUGUGAAUUGCAGAAUUCAGUGAAUCAUCGAAUCUUUGAACGCACAUUGCGCCCCCUGGUAUUCCGGGGGGCAUGCCUGUCCGAGCGUCAUUUCAACCCUCAAGCUCAGCUUGGUGUUGGGCCCCGCCGCCCCGGCGGGCCCUAAAGUCAGUGGCGGUGCCGUCCGGCUCCGAGCGUAGUAAUUCUUCUCGCUCUGGAGGUCCGGUCGUGUGCUCGCCAGCAACCCCCAAUUUUUUUCAGGUUGACCUCGGAUCAGGUAGGGAUACCCGCUGAACUUAAGCAUAUCAAUAAGCGGAGGA